rnacentral:misc_RNA from 1 species
AACCAUAGAAACCUGCGGAGUACCUGCGGAGGGAUCAUUACCGAGUGAGGGCCCUCCGGGUCCAACCUCCCACCCGUGUUUAACGAACCUUGUUGCUUCGGCGGGCCCGCCUCACGGCCGCCGGGGGGCACCCCGCCCCCGGGCCCGCGCCCGCCGAAGACACCUGUGAACGCUGUCUGAAGUUGCAGUCUGAGACACUAGCUCAAUCAGUUAAAACUUUCAGCAAUGGAUCUCAGAUCG